AACGCGAAGAACCUUACCCAGGCUCGAAAUGUAGAGAAAAGUAUCAGAGAUGAUAUGUUCCGCAAGGAGUUCUAUAUAGGUGCUGCAUGGCUGUCGUCAGCUCGUGCCGUGAGGUGUUGGGUUAAGUCCCGCAACGAGCGCAACCCUUGUCGUUAGUUGCCAGCAAGUAAUGUUGGGGACUCUAACGAGACUGCCUAGGUUAACUAGGAGGAAGGUGAGGAUGACGUCAAGUCCGCAUGGCCUUUAUGUCUGGGGCUACACACGUGCUACAAUGGCCGAUACAGAGGGCAGCGAAGCCGCGAGGUGAAGCAAAUCUCAAAAAGUCGGUCCCAGUUCGGAUUGGAGUCUGCAAUUCGACUCCAUGAAGUUGGAAUUGCUAGUAAUGGCGUGUCAGCAAUAACGCCGUGAAUACGUUCCCGGGUCUUGUACACACCG
rnacentral:rRNA from 1 species